rnacentral:rRNA from 1 species
AUUGAACGCUGGCGGCAGCCCUAACACAUGAAGUCGAACGAGUGGCGGACGGGUGAGUAAUGUCUGGGAAACUGCCCGAUGGAGGGGGAUAACUACUGGAAACGGUAGCUAAUACAGCAUACCAUCGGAUGUGCCCAGAUGGGAUUAGCUAGUAGGGGGGGGAACGGCUCACCUAUGCGACGAUCCCUAGCUGGUCUGAGAGGAUGAACAGCCACACUGGAACUGAGGUACGGUCCAGACUCCUACGGGAGGCAGCAGUGGGGAAUAUUGCACAAGGGGCGCAAGACGUAUGCAGCCAUGCCGCGUGUAUGAAGAAGGCCUUCGGGUUGUAAAGUACUUUCAGCGAGGAGGCGUUACUCGCAGAAGAAGCACCGGCUAACUCCGUGCCAGCAGCCGCGGUAAUAC